CAAUAGCGUAUAUUAAAGUUGUUGCAGUUAAAAAGCUCGUAGUUGGAUUUCUGGUGAGAUGGAUUAUGUCAAGGUCGAAAGAUCUUGUUCAUGGUUCGUUUUGCCCUUCUUGUCAGGAACCCGCUGAGAUUCGCGUCUUGUCGGUGGAAUGGCAUCGUUUACUGUGAAAAAAUUAGAGUGUUCAAAGCAGGCAUCGCCGUUGAAUACAUUAGCAUGGAAUAAUAAGAUAAGACUUUGGUGGUCUAUUUUGUUGGUUUGCACGCCAAAGUAAUGAUUAAUAGGGAUAGUUGGGGGUAUUCGUAUUCUAUUGCUAGAGGUGAAAUUCUUAAAUUUAUGGAAGACGAACUACUGCGAAAGCAUUUACCAAGGAUGUUUUCAUUAA
rnacentral:rRNA from 1 species